ensembl:antisense Gm16093 predicted gene 16093
CCGUGUGUCUGAAAACCUGGCCCACUCUGUAAAUAAAGGCUCCACUAGAGUCUGACGAUACGCUCUUCUCCAGCGUGGGGAGGCAGUGCCAAAGGCAGGCUGUGGAACCAUGCUAAUCCUCUGCAGCAGGUAAGAAAAAAAGGCUCGGGGCCAGCACACUCAAGAAAGCAAGCAGCUUGGGGGAGCAGGCCUUUGGGAAAAAUCUAACUACAUGGAAAACUGCGUCAGAAGAUGCUACUGUAAACAGUCACACUGUUUAACUGAGAAGAGAAAAUGAAGACUGCAGUGAGACUCAGGCUGAGUUAUUAAAAACGGCAGUAAUAACUGCCAACUGGUCCAGUCAUGAUGAAGUGAUUACUGUCAAGACUAAUAGUAAAAACAAAAAUUGUG